rnacentral:lncRNA from 1 species
GGCCUUCAGCCUCAGUGGACCAAGGCCCUGCGGCCUGUGGUCAGGUGUGGACGGAGGCCACUGCGGUCUGCAGUCCCAUGUGGACGGAGGGAGGCCCCUGCGGUCUGCGGUCCCGUGUGGCCUCCACCCAGAUGGUCUGCCCCANNNNNNNNNNNNNNNNNNNNNNNNNNNNNNNNNNNNNNNNNNNNNNNNNNNNNNNNNNNNNNNNNNNNNNNNNNNNNNNNNNNNNNNNNNNNNNNNNNNNNNGUCACCCCCCAGCCCCGCACCUCAGGCCCGGUCGUCUGAGCAUCAGGAGGCACUCAGCAGCCCUCUCCUCGGGCAGGAAGAGGCCCCGAUGGCGCUGACCACACAUACAGGCCGCUGGCCCCCAGCCUCUCGACUGCCCCAGAGACGUCAGCCCCUGGUGGCCUAUCCACUGGCCCAGGAGCCACACACCAGCCCCCCAGGCCCCUUAACUAACCCAGCCAGGGCCCCAGCCCCCCAGACUCAGCUUCUGCUGGUCCUUCGGGCAACGUGUGGCCGACCUGAGGGCGUGGUCUGGGCACGGGAGGGGGUCCCCUUUGGGGUCCCUGCCUUAGGUGCAGCUGAACCACUGUCCCCCCACCCACAGUGGCAAAAUGCACGACUGUCUUCUGUUUUUAUGUUUUUACAUCAGUCCAAAUUCCAAAAACCAACUAUCAAAUUCUAUUAUUUAGUCGUUUAAAAUAUAAAUUAAUUUUAAAUUCUGUCCACCCACAUUCACAGCAGCACUGUCCGCAGUAGCCACAAGAUGGAAGCAACCCAGGUGUCCCGACUGAUGAAGGAUAAACAGAGUGUGGCCCGUCCACACAACAGAGUACUAUUCAGCGAAAGCACGAAGGAAGUUCUGAGCCGCGCUAACUGUGGAUGGACCCUGAGGACACAAUGCUCAGUGACGUGGGCCAGACGGAAGGGGAUGGACACCUGCAACCCGCUUACCUGCAGUGCUCAGAGCAGCCAAACCGUGAAGACAGAAAGCACAUCAGGAGGUGCCAACAGGUUGGAGGUCCUGCCAGUCCAGUGAGAUCAGGAAGCGAAACGGAAGGAAUAACACCGGAAGAACAUGACAAGACAGACAGUCUGCACCAGAAGCCCGGGGCCGCCCCACGGCCACGACGGAGCUGGGGACGGCCCAGGGGCAGGUCCAUCGAGUCUGGUGGAGGAAGGAGGCGGCCAGCAGAGCACACGGCCAUCCCGAGGGGCCUAGGCUGGAGCAGCCUCGGGGUGCAGGACAGUGGGCAGGGGGCAGAGGGGCAACUCCUAGGACUGGGGGCCCCGGGGAACGGGGAGCAGGGCACUACCCCGGGACAGUCACCCAGAUCCGCAAGCAGGGCCAAGGCCCCGCACGACCCCCUGCAAGCCGACAGCGGGACCCAGGCCCAGAGAGCAGGGCGAGCCUGGCCCAGAUGAGCAGCCUGACAACAGGGGCCUCAAGCCCCGGGCACCAGACGGACCGGGCUCAGGCGGCACAGGCCUCAGUGCAGAGGGAGCUUUGGGGGGGCCCGGCCGUCCUGAGCCCAGGGACGCUCCCCAUGGCCCGUCUCCCUGCCCGAGGGCGUUGCGCCCUAACCCAGGCCCGCAGCAACAGCUUGGACCUCAGAGAGCCAGGACGGCGCCAGCAAAGGGGGCCACCGCUCCAGGACGGCCGGGUCAGUAAGGCCAGCUCUGCCGGCUUGAGAGGCCUCUUGCCCUGGCUGGCGUGCGUGGGUGGAGGGCUCACCCAGAAGGAGGCUGGCCAUGUGCCUGCGGGACCAGCUGGGACACUGGGCCGAGACUCAGAGGUGUGACAGUCGGGGCCGGCCCAGAGCACCCCGGCGGGACGGCAGUGGCUUCACACGAGCAGCGGGUGUCAGUCACCCCAGUUCUGGAGCCCCCCAUCAGGUGGCCCAGAGAUGUGCUCCCUCUCGAGGCUUCAAGGAGGGUCCCCCUGCCCCCUACUGCUGGGGGCUCUGGGCAUCCGAGCAUGUGUGCCAGGCUGCCUCAGUCCCGGCAUCAUCCCCACAGGGCUCCCCCGACCGUCCUCUCCCCCACUGAGGGUGCUCCCCUGACUGUCCUCUUCCCCCCCGAGGGUGCUCCCCCGACCAUCCUCUUCCCCCUGAGGGUGCUCCCCCGACUGUCCUCUCCCCGUGAUGGUGCUGCCCCGACCGUCCUCUCCCCCUGUAAGGAGGCUCCCCUGUCUGUCCUCUUGCUCCCCAACCAUCCUCUCCCUCCGUGAAGGUGCUCCCCGACCAUCCUCUCCCCCCGUGAGGGUGCUCCCCCAACUGUCCUCUCCCUCCAUGAAGACGCUUGCUCCUGCUGGCCCCCUCUCAGUCCUGAUCUCAGCUGCAUCUGCACACACCCCCCUGCUGCCAAACAAGUCACAAGCUGAGGAUUUGGGGGCUCCAGGGGCACAAAUCAGUGCAGAGGGUAAUGCAGGACACCAGCCACAUGCACCUGUGACCUCUGGGCCUCUGGAGAGCCCCACCUGCCCUCCGUGCUGGUUUCUGGAGCUUAAACCUGAAGACGGAAAAGGGGCCUCAAGCCACUGCCCCAAAGCAGCAGGAGGUAGAAGGGGUGUCCUUCCAGGGGGCCCCCGGGUGCACACGCUCAGGGCCCCCAUCCCACCACUGCCUGGAGCCUAAUGGAGAUCAGUGGCCCCAGGGAAAUGGGGGGGGGGAGGGGAAGUGGGGGGGGGGGGCUCCUGGCUCCCAAGGGACUGGCUGUCCUGAGUUUCCUGGGGACCCUUGGGCCCUCUGCUGCCCCGAGGCUUCCUGGACACCCCCAGUGUUGGAAAGAGAGUGCGAGACGUUCAUGCUGCCCAGAAGCCGGGCUAAGGAGGUAAAGGAUGCCCCAGAGGUGCUCACCGUGUGCGACUGGCCACCAGGGAAACCGGCCAACCCAGAAGGUCCCUGCAGGGCCCUCCUCACGGGACGUCCGGGCCUGAAACCUGGCCGACGGGGAGGGUAGUGAACGGCAAGCUAAAAUGAAGUCUCACUUUGCAAAAAGAGUUUCUUCAAGAAAUGCCAAAAAGAUCAUCAUAGUUGUGAGUGAGCAAGGGAAUCUGCGUGCAUCACUUUUUGUUUUCCCAAGUUUUCUAGGGGUGUAUUUUAUUUCUAUAACCAGAAAGAAAGAUGUUACAAACAAGAGGAACCAAAAAGGUGCUGGGCAGGGACCCAGCUGGGGUGGGCAGCUCCGCCCCUCCAGGCAGCUGCCCCUGCCCCUCCAGGCAGCUCUGGGGCGUUUCCUCCUCCGGCCCCGGCCCCACGGCUGGCCGGCUCAGGGGAGUUUGGCAACUGCGGGCAGACUUCGCAAUGGGAUCAGGGGUGUCUAGAGCCCUGGGGACCCUCCCCAGGCUUUGAAGUAGAAAGAACUGAGGAGAGACGACCCUGGACAGACACGCUGCUGCUGCUGCUGCUUCUGCUAAGUCGCUUCAGUUGUGUCCGACUCUGUGCAACCCCAUAGACGGCAGCCCACCAGGCUCCCCCGUCCCUGGGAUCCUCCAGGCAAGAACACUGGAGUGGGUUGCCAUUUCCUUCUCCAAUGCGUGAAAGUGGAAAGUGACGCAGAAUCCCUUUAUUUCUCGCUCAUAAGACAGAAAGUCGUGAGCCAAGCAAGGCUAGAGGAAGGCCGUACCGACAACCGAGCCCCGUGUGCUCCACUAGGAUCCCCGUGCCCCCUCCCACCCCA